rnacentral:rRNA from 1 species
AAUCAACGCUGGCGGCGUGCCUCAGACAUGCAAGUCGAACGAUUAAAGCUCUCUUCGGAGAGUGCAUAGAGUGGCGCACGGGUGAGUAACACGUAAGUAAUCUACCUUCGAGUGGGGAAUAACGUCCGGAAACGGACACUAAUACCGCAUAAUGCAGCGGCAUCGCAAGAUGACAGUUGUUAAAGAUUUAUCGCUUGAAGAGGAGCUUGCGGCAGAUUAGCUAGUUGGUAAGGUAAUGGCUUACCAAGGCUACGAUCUGUAACCGGUCUUAGAGGACGGUCGGUCAUACUGACACUGAAGAACGGUUCAGACACCUACGGGAGGCAGCAGUUGGGAAUUUUGGGCAAUGGGCGAAAGCAUGACCCAGCAACGCCGCGUGAAGGAUGAAUUAUUUCGGUAUGUAAACUUCGAAAGAAUGGGAAGAAUCAAGGACGGUACCAUUUAUAAGGGCCGGCUAACUACGUGCCAGCAGCCGCCGUAA